AUGUCAGCGGUUGGGUAGAGGUGAUAUACAAGAAAGGGACAGGACAUUCUAGUGGGACCAGAUAAAAUGGCGUAUAUAGACCUUGCAUGUAAACUACUGGUAUGCUGUUGUAAGCUCUACGAGCAUUGCCAAAAAGAGAACGAAAAUACAGGCACUUCUGUACCACCAGGGCAUUCAAGUGUCCAACCCUUAGACCAAGAAACCAACGGCCAAAAUUCUGCGACGAUGUCAGCGUUUCCUGUUCUAACUCAGCCACCGGGUAGUACCGCUGCCACUGUUCAAAAACAAGAAUAAGGCGGGGUGCAAGUAAUUUGCCCGGACAACAUAAAUCAUUUACGAAGAGAAAUAUACUGGAUAUUCUUGUGACACUUGAAUCUAGACUUGAACUAACCUGCUGACAUUUAUCUUACAAUAAUCAAUAUGUUUCAUUCUUAGGUUCCUUAGUACUACCACAGUGUUAAAACUGGUUCCGAUAACAUGCGAUAGAAUUGUGUUGUUGUGUGGUACUAUUACCAAUUCAUUUAUAUCACUGAUGCAGUGUUAGUACAUGUAUAAGAAACCGUAUACAUAUAAAGUAUUAUUUUUAGUAUCUUUGUCAGUCACAAAUGAUCUGCGCUCUUUCUUUUCCCUGCAUGGAAACCCGAGGAUUUUCCAGAUCAGGCGCAAUCGAAGCGACUAUAGAAUAAUCGAGUUAAGGUUCUGUUAUUUUUCUACAUAACACAUUACGGGGCAGUUAAAUGACCACGUUUUCUUGUCAAGUAAAACGUUAGUACAAUUCACGACUAAUUUUCGCAUUUUUGACUUGCAUUUUAUUUCCGUUUGGUGUAAACAAUUAAUCAAAGGGAUGUUGACUUUAGAGCCAUGUAUAUUUACUCUUCUGUGGUACCGAGUGUAGUGCUUUAAUUCCAUACAUUUUAUAUCUAUGUAUGUAAUGCCAUACUGAGUUGCUUACUGCUUAUGUAUAUAUACUUUAAACGGAUAAAAGCUUCUGUGAUAUCUGAUAAAUUAUACACAGUUAUGACUGUAGAAACAUGUUAUUGUACGAAAUAAAUAGAUUUUA